GAUGAACGCUGCCAGCAUGCUUAACACAUGCAAGUCGAUGGGGAAGUGGUGCUUGCACCCUGGUAACCAUGGCGGACGGGUGAGUAACGCGUACGGAACUUGCCUGCGGGACUGGGAUAACAGCAGGAAACUGCUGAUAAUACCGGAUAAGGUCAUUAAGCUGCAUAGCUUAGUGAUGAAAGGAGACGCCUGCGGAGAGCCUUGCGUCCUAUUCGCUAGUUGGAGGGGUAACGGCCCACCAAGCCGAAGAUAGGUAGCCGGCCUGAGAGGGUGGACGGCCACAAGGGGACUGGGAGACGGCACUUACUCCUACGGGAGGCAGCAGGGGGGAAUAUUGGACAAUGGGGGCAACCCUGAUCCAGCAAUUCUGUGUGCACGAAGACGGUUUUCGGAUUGUAAAGUGCUUUCAGCAGGGAAGAAGGAAGUGACGGUACCUGCAGAAGAAGCGACGGCUAAAUACGUG
rnacentral:rRNA from 1 species